rnacentral:rRNA from 1 species
GCGACAGCGGGGUCAUGGGACCGCGACAUUCGACGAUGGACGAAGUGCAAUUACCUGGAAAGGUAAGCCGUGGAGGGUGACAGCCCCGUGCACGACACCUCUUUCAAAGAUAGCGGUAUCCCGAGUAGGGCGGGACACGAGAAAUCCUGCCUGAAUUCGCCAGGACCUCCUGGCAAGGCUAAAUACUCCCGAGAGACCGAUAGUGAACCAGUACCGCGAGGGAAAGGUGAAAAGUACCCCGAGCAGGGGGGUGAAAUAGACCCUGAACCCGCGCGCCUACAAGCGGUCGGAGCCAUGAAAUAUGGUGACGGCGUGCCUUUUGCAUAAUGAGCCUACGAGUUAGUCGUCACCAGCGAGGUUAAGGGCUUCAGGCCCGUUAGCCGAAGUGAAAGCGAGCCUUAACAGGGCGUCGAGUUGGUGGCGCUAGACGCGAAACCUUGUGAUCUACCCACGAGCAGGUUGAAGUCGCGGUAACACGUGAUGGAGGACCGAACCGGUAAACGUUGAAAAGUUUUCGGAUGACUCGCGGGUAGGGGUGAAAGGCCAAUCAAACUGGGAAAUAGCUCGUACUCUCCGAAAUGCAUUUCGGUGCAGCCUGUGAUGUUCUGUUCCAGAGGUAGAGCUACUGGUUGGACGCGAGGGCUUCACCGCCUAUCAAAUCCGGAUAAACUCCGAAUGCUGGAACACGAAAUCAUGGAGUGAGCCCGCGGGUGCUAAGGUCCGCGGACGAGAGGGAAAGAACCCGGACCACCGGCUAAGGUCCCGGAUGGACAGUUAAGUUGAUCAAACGAGGUGGGAUCGCGGAGACAGCUAGGAUGUUGGCUUGGAAGCAGCCAUUCAUUUAAAGAGUGCGUAACAGCUCACUAGUCGAGCGAUCCCGCGUGGAUAAUACACGGGCAUUAAACUGUCAACCGAAGCCGUGGGGUUAGUUAAUGACUAACCGGUAGGAGAGCAUUCCUGCCAGCUUUGAAGGUCACCCGCGAGAGUGACUGGAGCGGCAUGAAAAGCAAAUGUAGGCAUAAGUAACGAUAAUGGGGGCGAGAACCCCCCACGCCGCAAGACCAAGGAUUCCCCGGCAAUGUCAAUCAGCCGGGGGUCAGCCGGCCUCUAAGGCUCACCCGAACGGGGACGCCGACGAGAAACGGGUUAACAUUCCCGUGCUUCUCGUCACCGUGACGCGGUGACGGGGUGAUGAAUGGACCGCGCGCUGACGGAAUAGCGCGUUGAAGGCCGUACCCUUUGACGGUGGUAGUCAAGCACGCCACCCGAGGCGAGAGCCGAUAGUACCACGAGACUCCGGUCGAGUGGAUAGCGUCCAGGCAAUUUACCCCCUAGAAAACCCGCUAAACUUCAAGUGACGAGGAACCGUACUGUAAACGGACACACGUGGUCGGGUAGAACAUACCAAGGCGCUCGAGUGAUUCAUGGUCAAGGAACUAGGCAAAAUAGUCCUGUAACUUCGGGAAAAAGGACGCUCUAGUGAUAGAGCCGCAGAGUAAUGGCCCAGGCGACUGUUUACCAAAAACACAUGGCUAUGCCAAAUCGAAAGAUGACGUAUAUGGCCUGACACCUGCCCGGUGCCGGAAGGUUAAGAGGAGAGCUCAUCGGAAACGAGAAGGUUUGAAUUGAAGCCCC